CCGCUCGGCUGCAGCACCGCAGCGCUGGACUCAGGGGGUGAGUUUGGGGGCUGCGGGGCGUGCGGCAGGCUGUCCGCACCGGGUGGCUGUGGGAAAGCUGGCAUUGCCCCACUGGGGAUGUCCUUGCUUUUCCAGCAGCCACAGCGAGCGCAGACAUCCCGGAGGACGUGGCGGACAUCCAUGAUCUCCUGGCAUGGCUCAACGACGAAGUGACGUCCAAGACAGGCAUCCUGGACGACGACGCAGACAUCGAUGACCUGCUCACGUGGAUCAACAACGAAGAGACACCCAGCACCCACAGACU
rnacentral:lncRNA from 1 species